rnacentral:rRNA from 1 species
CCCUUAGAUGUUCUGGGCCGCACGCGCGCUACACUGAUGCAUUCAACGAGUCUAAAACCUGCUCUGAUAGGGGUGGGUAAUCUUUUGAAUGUGCAUCGUGAUUGGGAUAGAUGAUUGCAAUUUUUCAUCUUCAACGAGGAAUGCCUAGUAAACGCAAGUCAUCAGCUUGCAUUGAUUACGUCCCUGCCCUUUAUACACACCGCCCGUCGCUCCUACCGAUUGAAUGAUCCGAUGAAUAUCAUGGAUUGAGGAUGCAAGCAGGUUCGCCUGUCUUCAUCUUCGAGAAGUGAAGUAAAUCUUAUCAUUUAGAGGAAGGAGAAGUCGUAACA